UACGUAGGGUGCAAGCGUUGUCCGGAUUUAUUGGGCGUAAAGAGCUCGUAGGCGGUUUAGUAAGUUGGGUGUGAAAACUCCAGGCUCAACCUGGAGAUGCCGCCCAAGACUGCUAUGACUUGAGUCUGGUAGGGGAGCACGGAAUUCCUGGUGUAGCGGUGAAAUGCGCAGAUAUCAGGAGGAACACCGGUGGCGAAGGCGGUGCUCUGGGCCAGUACUGACGCUGAGGAGCGAAAGCAUGGGGAGCGAACAGG
rnacentral:rRNA from 1 species